AGAACGAACGCUGGCGGCAUGCCUAAUACAUGCAAGUCGAACGAACACUUCGGUGUUAGUGGCGCACGGGUGCGUAACGCGUGGGAAUCUGCCCUUGGGUUCGGAAUAACAGUUGGGAACGACUGCUAAUACCGGAUGAUGACGAAAGUCCAAAGAUUUAUCGCCCAGGGAUGAGCCCGCGUAGGAUUAGCUAGUUGGUGAGGUAAAGGCUCACCAAGGCGACGAUCCUUAGCUGGUCUGAGAGGAUGAUCAGCCACACUGGGACUGAGACACGGCCCAGACUCCUACGGGAGGCAGCAGUAGGGAAUAUUGGACAAUGGGCGCAAGCCUGAUCCAGCAAUGCCGCGUGAGUGAUGAAGGCCUUAGGGUUGUAAAGCUCUUUACCCGAGAUGAUAAUGACAGUAUCGGGAGAAUAAGCCCCGGACUAACUCCGUGCCAGCAGCCGACGGU
rnacentral:rRNA from 1 species